rnacentral:lncRNA from 1 species
GUUGAGAUUUGGCAAAUGAAUUGCAUGCAUUUUUGCAUGCAAUUAGGCUAUAAAUAGAGGUGUUUUCAAAUGUUGAAGGACUUUUGCCUCUUUUAUCAUUUUCAUCAUCUCAACAAAAGAAAAAAGAAAGCUUCCAAUCUCAUUUUAUCUCCAUUACUUUCUACACCAAAAUUGGGUCCCACAACCCGGUUCUUUGUCUAGAGGAUAGCAGUUGAGUACUAGUGGUGGUCUCGGGUAGAAUUGGUAAGAAGACAUCAAACCUUUUGAAAGCUUCAAAGGUAAUACUUCUUAAAACCCUAAUUUGAUUAGUUUAUGGUUACAUGUUAAUUGUGGCAAUUAGGGUAGAAAUUCGAUUCUUUUUCCGCUGUGCAUGACUUAGUUCUAUCAUGUGGUAUCAGAGCAUGCUUCAUUUUUACCCAAUUGCAUGUGGUGGGUUCAUAUUUAUUAGAUAAAUUUUGGUUUGAACUAAAAUGGAUAUAUUAUGAUUUUGGCUCUAGAUUAAGUGUUUUUGUUCUAAUUAUUGUAAUUAGCCUUGUUAAUGGCUUAUUUUUAUUGUUGCAAAGUGUUUGUAAUUUUUAAAAAAAAUAAAAAAGGUCAUUAGAGUUGAAGCUAGGCUGUAAUUGGUUCAACCGGGUGAGAGAAUUGAAAAAAAAAUGAAGAAAAGAAGGUCACAGACCCGAAAACCCGGCCUUGACCCGCUUCGCGACCCGCACGCGCCCGCAUGCCCGCGCGCCCUCCUGCGUCCGCACGCGC